AAAUGGUUGGUGGAUGAGUCGAGCUCCUCGUAGGUGGACUCCGGCGGGAGUAAGAUGAUGGUGGGGUUUUCCUCUGCAGUUCAUUAGGGUUUUCCUUCUUGACUGGAAAACAACGAAGGCUAUUGAGAGAACAAUGACAAAUACAGAAACAAAAAAGUUAUGGAGAAAAUGGCGAUCUUAUUUGGGCUGUGCUUUAUGAU
rnacentral:lncRNA from 1 species